rnacentral:sRNA from 1 species
UUAAAUAUUCCCAAGGAAAUGAAGAAGUAGCAUCAGAAACAAAAAUGUUCGCUUUGUUGUAUUAAAAGUGUUCAUUCCUAAGGGAUGUCCCCUCAGAAUAUCUAGAAGAUUCUUUCAGACCAGAUUUGAGAUAUAAAAAAGGCAGUCAGCUGGGCGUGGUGGCUCACACCUGUAAUCCCAGCACUUUAGGAGGCUGAGGCAGGCAGAUCACGAGGUCAGGAGUUCAAGACCAGUCUGGGCAACAUGGUGAAACCCCGUCUCUACUAAAAUACAAAAAAUUAGCUGGGCGUGGCUGCAUGCGCCUGUAGUCCCAGCUACUCAGGAAGCUGAGGCAGGAGAAUUGCUUGAACCCAGGAGGAGGAAGUUGCAGUGAGCUGAGAUUGCGCCACUGCACCCCAGCCUGGGCGACGAAGCAAGACUCCGUCUCAAAGAAAAGGCAGUCACAGGACACAAGGAAUAAAACGGAAUUACUGAACUAUUACCAUGUACCAGCAGUGUUCUCAUUAUUUUCACCCACAUUCAGUGAUUUAACCCUCAUCUCCAUCCUGUGAGAUAUAGCUAUUGUUAGCUUCACUUUAUAAGUAACAAAGCCAACACUGGCUGGGCGCGUUGGACUCUGAAUUCAGGUCCAACCAAUUUAAUGGGGCUGUUAGAAAUGUUAAUGUACGCCAGGUGCGGUGGCUCACACCUGUAAUCCCAGCACUUUGGGAGGCAGAGGCAGGCAGAUUGCCUGAACCCAGGAGUUCAAGACCAGCCUGGGUAACAUAGCAAGACCCUGUCUCUACAAAAAGAAAAGAGAAAAAACAGCAGCCAAAGCUUAGAGGGGUUAUGUGCCUAGUUUGGAGUCACACACAGCUAGCUGGGAAUCUAAUCUGGGUCUGUCGAACUCCAAAGCCCUUCCUCUUUCUUCUUACUCAGCUCUCUCCCUCUGGUUAUCUUUAGGCCUUGGAUUACCUAUGUGAAUGUUUCUCUGCUUGUAAAUACCACUUGGUCUGUGACCUUACUCUAAGCAUAAAUGGAGGGAAAAGAAGAAUUAGACUAACAAAUACGUUCAGCUCCUAAACACCCUCAAGUUAGUAUAGAUUUCAGAAUCAGAAGACUUGGAUUUCGGACACAUUAGUCUUUCUGAAUGUAUUUUCCCUUCUCUCUUCUACCUGCCUCACAAGAUUAUCACAAGGAUCAAAUAAGACUGUUGGGAAAAACUCCCUUGAUCCUACUUUUUUGGAUUCAGGUGUCCUGUGCCCUGUUCUAGACCUUAUCUCAGUAGGUCUUGUUCGAUUUUGCAGGUUGUACAUCCUGGAGACCUGAAGAAUUCUGUUGAAGUCGCACUGAACAAGUUGCUGGAUCCAAUCCGGGAAAAGUUUAAUACCCCUGCCCUGAAAAAACUGGCCAGCGCUGCCUACCCAGAUCCCUCGAAGCAGAAGCCAAUGGCCAAAGGCCCUGCCAAGAAUUCAGAACCAGAGGAGGUCAUCCCAUCCCGGCUGGAUAUCCGUGUGGGGAAAAUCAUCACUGUGGAGAAGCACCCAGACGCAGACAGCCUGUAUGUGGAGAAGAUUGACGUGGGGGAAGCUGAACCACGGACUGUGGUGAGCGGCCUGGUACAGUUCGUGCCCAAGGAGGAACUGCAGGACAGGCUGGUAGUGGUGCUGUGCAACCUGAAACCCCAGAAGAUGAGAGGAGUCGAGUCCCAAGGCAUGCUUCUGUGUGCUUCUAUAGAAGGGAUAAACCGCCAGGUUGAACCUCUGGACCCUCCGGCAGGCUCUGCUCCUGGUGAGCGCGUGUUUGUGAAGGGCUAUGAAAAGGGCCAACCAGAUGAGGAGCUCAAGCCCAAGAAGAAAGUCUUCGAGAAGUUGCAGGCUGACUUUAAAAUUUCUGAGGAGUGCAUCGCACAGUGGAAGCAAACCAACUUCAUGACCAAGCUGGGCUCCAUUUCCUGUAAAUCGCUGAAAGGGGGGAACAUUAGCUAGCCAGCCCAGCAUCUUCCUCCCUUCUUCCACCACUGAGUCAUCUGCUGUCUCUUCAGUCUGCUCCAUCCAUCACCCAUUUACACAUCUCUCAGGACACGGAAGCAGCGGGUUUGGACUCUUUAUUCGGUGCAGAACUCAGCAAGGGGCAGCUUACCCUCCCCAGAACCCAGGAUCAUCCUGUCUGGCUGCAGUGAGAGACCAACCCCUAACAAGGGCUGGGCCGCAGCAGGGAGUCCAGCCCUACCUUCUUCCCUUGGCAGCUGGAGAAAUCUGGUUUCAAUAUAACUCAUUUAAAAAUUU